CACCAGGAUCUUUGAACUUUGGAGGGGUGUUGUGUUGGAGAAUGGAACUUACCUGCUCAGUUAGGAGGAUCUUUUUAGGCACAUGUGUUCUAUAUUUCCGCUUUUGGAUGCAAAGGUCUUUGAGGAAUUUGGCAUAGGAGGGAACUUGUUUGAUGGCAUGGAGUGGGAGGUUGAUUUUAACUUGUUUGAAGACCUCCAUCAUCUCUUCUAAUGAAGUUUCCUUCUUGCCAAAGGGAGAGGGUGCAUUAAGUGCUUCAGGGAAUGG
rnacentral:lncRNA from 1 species